AUGGGAGUCACGCUUGACAGGGCGACAAGCGCCUCCUCCGGCGGCGGCGUCGACUUCUACAUCAAGCCCAUGGCGGCCGGGUCUCACCUGUUCCAGAUCGACGGCUACUCAAUCGCUAAACGCGCAGCCAACGGCUUUAGCUUCAAGUCCUGCCCUUUCAUGGUGGGAGGCUACCGCUGGGCACUCUACCUCUAUCCAAACGGCGACAGGCCGGACAGCGCCGGCUUCAUCUCCGUCUUCCUCCUCCUCGACGACUACGAGCACGUUGAAAGGCCGGCGAGGCUGCAGCUCGAGCUUCGCUUCAUCGACGAGGCCGACAAGCGGCAGGAUCCCACGCCCGCCCGCACGAGCCAGGUGAUCGAUCUACGCAGCUUCUGCGGCGUGGGCUACCGCAGGUUCAUCGCACGGGAGGCCAUGGAGAACUCGAAGCAUCUCAAGGGUGACCGCUUCACGAUCCGGUGCGACUUGGUCUUCCUGAAGCUCGUCGUCAUCCCGGAGAACGUUCAUGCCAGCGGACACAGGAAAUGUGUGGCGUGCAACCUCCGGGUGGUGACGCUGGCGUGGAUGCCCCUCCUGCAUGCGUGUUUCUGCGUCGCCUGCAAAGACGCUAGCCGCAUGGACGCAACGGCGAAACAGUGCGCGAGCUGCCAUGGGCCCUUUCAAGGGAUCUUCCUGCAUCCAGGGGUGCCUCCCCUUUCUUCUUCUUGA
rnacentral:rRNA from 1 species